rnacentral:misc_RNA from 1 species
CCCACAAUUGCCAGGUUACUCUCCUGGGUUUGCAGCAAUAGCUUAGCCCUUUCGAUUGGGGCGACGAUCGUGUGCACACCUCCACCCAUGACCGCACCCGCCAUCAGAUCUCUUUGGAAGUGGGUCAGCCAUAUGUAAGGUCGUGAUGUUGUUGUCGCUGUGGGUGGUUUUGACUGGCUCUGUUCUCCUGGGUCAUCAUCAUCUCUGCUCAUUUCUAGACCCCUCCAAAAAAAACCCACAAAGAGAAAUCUCUUAUAUUCCUAUAUGAAGCGUGAUUGCUGCCAUCAAGAAAAACCCAUUAAUAUUUGGAAGCAACAUUACAGUUCUAUGAGGU